AUGAGGACAUCCUCCACUAUUACCCGUUGGCAAAGACGCAAUUGGCCCAGUUGGCCCAAUUGUAGUCGAACGGUGACCGUGUGAGCCUCAGAUUUAUCCCACCUCGCUUAACUUGGGAGGAGGAAGCCACUUUAAAAUGGAGAGCCACCCUUCCCCAUUGGACUACUCUUUUGGGGCGAUUGGGCCUUUCCCUUAGUUGGGUGUGCUUAAUGAACUGUUGGGCUCCGGGCAACCCUAAUUUGUUGGGCCUCGGCCAACCCCACCUGGGCUAGGUGUAUCAUCUGGUAUCAGAGCUAGGGCCCAUUUUAAGAAGGUGGGAAUGAUGAGGACAUCCUCCACUAUUACCCAUUGGCAAAGACGCAAUUGGCCCAGUUGGCCCAAUUGUAGUCGGACGGUGACCGUGUGAGCCUCAGAUUUAUCCCACCUCGCUUAACUUGGGAGGAGGAAGCCACUUUAAAAUGGAGAGCCACCCUUCCCCAUUGGACUAGUCUUUUGGGGCGAUUGGGCCUUUCCCUGAGUUGGGUGUGCUUAAUGAACUGUUGGGCUCCGGGCAACCCUAAUUUGUUGGGCCUCGGCCAACCCCACCUGGGCUGGGUGUAUCACGAG
rnacentral:lncRNA from 1 species